UUACAGCCAUACCACAUUGAAACACUGGUUCUCAUACAGUUACUGAAGUUAAGCAAUGUUGAGUUUGGUCAGUCCUAGAUGGGUGACUUCUUGUGAAUACUAGGUGCUGUAAG